rnacentral:rRNA from 1 species
GACGAACGCUGGCGGCGUGCUUAACACAUGCAAGUCGAACGGAAAGGCCUGCUUUCCCUUGUGGAUUGCGGGUACUCGAGUGGCGAACGGGUGAGUAACACGUGAGUGAUCUGCCCCCAACUUGGGUAUAAGCCUGGGAAACUGGGUCUAAUUCCCGAUAGGACUGCAGGGUGGUGCCUGUGGUGGAAAACGAUUUUCUAGUGGUUGGGGAUGAGCUCGCGGCCUAUCAGCUUGUUGGUGGGGUAAUGGCCUACCAAGGCGGCGACGGGUAGCCGGCCUGAGAGGGUGGACGGCCACAUUGGGACUGAGAUACGGCCCAGACUCCUACGGGAGGCAGCAGUGGGGAGUAUUGCACAAUGGGCGGAAGCCUGAUGCAGCGACGCCGCGUGGGGGAUGACGGCCUUUGGGUGGUAAACUCCUUUCGACCGCGAGGAAGCCACCUGGUUGGAAGGGUGGUGACGGUAGUGGUAGAAGAAGCACCGGCUAACUACGUG